CUCUAGCACCCUGACUAUAGUCUCUAAUUGGCAUUCCGAUCAAUAGAAACCUUGAAGAAAUGUUUGGUUCUCAGCCUGGAAAAGGAAAUGUACAAGGUGUGCUUGGAUAUCUUGUCAUAUCAGAAAUUCAAAGACUAUCAAAAUCUCUUAAGACUACAUCAAAAGGAGGUGAUGAAAAAAAAAAAAAAAAAGGAGGUGAUGUUGCCAAAGAUGGGACAAUUUAAACAUUCAUAAGAAUAAUAACUACAAUGGACUACAGUGAACUAAAGUACAUCAAAUAUGUUUAAACCCGUGACUUUAUAAUGAUUUUUUUAAUUGGUCAUUUUUGGAGGGUUCUAGGUAGCAAACUCAAUAAUUUGAAGACUGCUAAUAAAGAGAAAGCAACAUUUAUCCUGCCUUUCCUGUAGGAACCAUACCUGACCAUGUGGUUGAUGAGGGAAUUUCUCUUACAGAAGUAAUCCAGGAGUAAAUGAGCAGAAUGAUAGAAUUUCAAUAUCACCAUUUUGCAACCCCUAAUGAAAUCAUGGAUUAGUCAAUAAUGAUUAAGGACUGAUAACAUCACCAAAAGAGAGACAAGCAGACAUUAUGCACAUUCUGUUGGAAGUUCACAGCACUCUCUGAGAAGGAGUCCUGCAAAUAUAAACACUGAACCAGGAAAUUACCAAUGAAAUUACCAAUUUACAGGGAAUUCGUUGGACAGAGGAGCGUGUUACAUAGUACCUCAAGCAUAUAAUCAACCAAAACCAGACUGUGGGAAACUCUACAGGAAACCACGCCCUACACACAUGCGCACACACAGUUUCCUCAACAAAUACAUUUCAAGGGGGAAAAAAAAGUGGAAUUGGAAAGAGAACCUACAUGUUAAAAGAAACAUAAGAAAAAAUAUCGACCAAUAUAAUGUAUGGACUUUAUUUUAAUCCUGAUUCAGAAAAAGUAAACUCAUAAAAAGGAUAUGAGACAUUUGAGGGAAUCUGAAAAAAAAAUCUGAGGCUCCUAGAUUCCAGGCUAUUUUCCCACUGGCAUGAGCCUGGGCAUUGCUGCUAUUAUAAGUAAAAACCACUUCAGAGCCCAGAACCACGGGGUUGGGACAACUCCUCCAAUUGGCUCUUUAUGUGUCAGAAGAAGAGUCUAACGAACAAGGCCACCUCUCCCAUUCUCUCCCAGCCCCGAAGACUCCCCUGCUCCCAGGCCAACCCACCGCAGAGGGUAGAACAUUCAACUACUCAGAAUGAGGCUCCAGGCAGGCGAUUUUCUUGAGGUGCUUCUCAUUCAGGCUCUUGCCCAUCUGGAGCACAGCUUUUGGCAUCAUUCAGGAUGUGCCAAAUGAAUGAGUUCUGCUUGUGUGCAGUGAGUUGAUGUCCCUGAUCCCGACUGGGCCUGCGAUUUGGAAAGGGAGGUGGUUGUGAUGCUCCAUCAAAUUCCACCACCAGCCACACCACGGACGGGAGUAACUGGAAACUAUGCAGUACGGGAUUCCAUUUCGAAAAAGGAGGCAGUUGGGUAGGAGUGGAAAAUGCCCUGGCCUUUGAACCACAUGGCAUGUUGACCGGGAGGCUGACCGUGAGGCUGGCUGUGGCAUCAACUGACAAUGAACGUGAGACCCGACACUAGACUCGGGGUCAGAAGACACACGUCUGGGUCUCUGCCACCUAAAUCCUAACCUUUAACAAAUCACUUUGUUGGUUUUCUUAGCUAUGAGUAAUAAUACCUACUCACAGAAGCUACUGUUGCAUGGUGGAAUGAGGUCAUUCAUGUGAAAGAUUUCAUAAACUUGAAGCAGGAUGCCAAUACAAUAUUCUUCCUCUGUGAGAGCCUUCCAGAGGACAGUGGACCCGGAGGAGGCAAGAUAGAGAGUGAUUACAGGCUGAUCCUGGAGCCAGGCAGCCUGCACUGGAAUGUGCAGCUGGGACACAUAAGUUAACCUCUCUGUGCCCAGUCACCUCAUGGUCAUAGUGGGGGGUGAUAAGAAUACCAUCCUCAUCACAGGGUUCUCGGGAGGGUGAAGUAGUUACUCUACUUGGAGCACAUAGAACACUGCCCGGCUUGUGGCAGCACUCACUAAGACUGGGCUGGGAUGAUUAUUCCCAAGGCCAUCUUGUACACCUGCAGGCCCUGGGCUGGGCAUUCAGCCCAAUCCCAAGAGAUCUCAUGAAAAGAGAUUCUGGGAAUUCCCUGGCAGUCCAGUGGUUAGGACUCCAUGUUUUUACUGCCAAGGGCCCAGUUCGGGGAACUAAGAUCCUGCAAGCCACGCAGCACAACACGCCCCCCCCCCAAAAAAAAGACAGAUUCUGCCCCCACCCACAGUCCACACAGCAGGCAGAGCUAUUUAGCUAAAAUCUGACCAUGUCAAUUCUCUGCUUAACCACCCAAAUCUGCCCCAGUCCCACUCCCACCCCCAGGUAAAGACAUCAAACCCCUGUCAUAGGCCCUUGAGCCCCUCUCCAGCCUCUCCUGGUGCCCACUGCCUCUCAUCAAGGCUCCAGCAACACCAAACUGCCUGUCGCUUCUCACCUCCACCAGCUGGCUCCUGCUGCCCCUCUGCCCAGCAUGCCCUCACCAACCCUGCCUUUGCUAACUCCUAGUUACCCUUCAGGACCCUUAGACUCAUGUCUCCCAGAAAGCGCUUUCUGACCCCGCCUGAGCAGAACCUGGUUCCCCCUUUCCUAUAUCCCUUGUGGGCACCUCCAUCAGGCCAAAUUGUAUCCUAACUGUUCAGGUGACUGCUUCACACCAGACUGGGGGAUCCUUGAAGGGAAAGGCCAGCACUGGGUCUUGCACAUCUCGGUAAACUUAGCACGAGCACAGUGCCAGGCACACGGUAGGUGAUCAGUAAUGGUUGAGUGGAAAAACUGAUGAGUGGAUGACCAGGAACUAAUAGAGCCCUAGCUUGUUUUGGCCACGCCGUGCAGCUUGUGGGAUCUUAGUUCCCUGACGAGGGAUUAAACCCGGGCCCUUGGCAGUGAGAGCGUGGAGUCCUAACCACUGGACCUCCAGGGAAUUCCCUGUUCAGCUACUUUUUUUUUUUUUUUUUUUUUGCGGUAUGCGGGCCUCUCACUGUUGUGGCCUCUCCCGUUGCGGAGCACAGGCUCCGGACGCACAGGCUCAGCGGCCAUGGCUCACAGGCCCAGCCGCUCCGCGGCAUGUGGGAUCCUCCCGGACCGGGGCACGAACCCGCAUCCCCUGCAUCUGCAGGCAGACUCUCAACCACUGUGCCACCAGGGAAGCCC